UGACACAGAGAGGGAAGACUUCCAUAUUCAGGUGCUGAGCAUCACAGACACUCAAGAUAUCAGAAGAUGUUGAGUACUAUUGCAGGGUCAUUGUCAUGCUGUACAUGUUAC